rnacentral:rRNA from 1 species
GACGAACGCUGGCGGCGCGCUUAACACAUGCAAGUCGAACGGAAAGGCCUGCUUUCCCUUGUGGAUUGCGGGUACUCGAGUGGCGAACGGGUGAGUAACACGUGAGUGAUCUGCCCCCAACUUGGGUAUAAGCCUGGGAAACUGGGUCUAAUUCCCGAUAGGACUGCAGGGUGGUGCCUGUGGUGGAAAACGAUUUUCUAGUGGUUGGGGAUGAGCUCGCGGCCUAUCAGCUUGUUGGUGGGGUAAUGGCCUACCAAGGCGGCGACGGGUAGUCGGCCUGGGAGGGUGGACGGCCACAUUGGGACUGAGAUACGGCCCAGACUCCGACGGGAGGCAGCAGUGGGGAAGAUUGCACAAUGGGCGGAAGCCUGAUGCAGCGACGCCGCGUGGGGGAUGACGGCCUUCGGGUGGUAAACUCCUUUCGACCGCGAGGAAGCCACCUGGUUGGAAGGGUGGUGACGGUAGUGGUAGAAGAAGCACCGGCUAACUACGUG